rnacentral:rRNA from 1 species
CCUACGGGAGGCAGCAGUGAGGAAUAUUGGUCAAUGGGCUUACGCCUGAACCAGCCAAGUCGCGUGAGGGAAGACUGCCCUAUGGGUUGUAAACCUCUUUUGUCAGGGAGCAACGCCGGCUACGUGUAGCCGGACUGAGAGUACCUGAAGAAAAAGCAUCGGCUAACUCCGUGCCAGCAGCCGCGGUAAUCGGGAGGAGGCGAGCGUUAUCCGGAUUGAUUGGGUUUAAAGGGUGCGUAGGCGGAAUGCCAAGUCAGCGGUAAAAUCGCGGGGCUCAACCUCGCUCCGCCGUUGAAACUGGCGUUCUUGAGUGGGCGAGAAGUAUGCGGAAUGCGUGGUGUAGCGGUGAAAUGCAUAGAUAUCACGCAGAACUCCGAUUGCGAAGGCAGCAUACCGGCGCCCAACUGACGCUGAAGCACGAAAGCGUGGGUAUCGAACAGGAUUAGAUACCCCAGUAGUC